GGUCACGUAGUGCAAUGGGCAUAGCCCAAUUAUCAACGCUGAGCUCUUCCCGGUUCAAGUCCGGGCGUGACCA